rnacentral:rRNA from 1 species
ACGGAGGGUGCGAGCGUUGUUCGGAAUUAUUGGGCGUAAAGCGCGUGUAGGAGGUUUGGUAAGUCUGAUGUGAAAGCCCCGGGCUCAACCUGGGAAGUGCAUUGGAAACUGUCAGACUUGAAUACGGGAGAGGGUAGUGGAAUUCCUAGUACAGGAGUGGUAUCCGUAGAUAUUAGGAGGAACACCGGUGGCGAAGGCAGCUACCUGGACCGAUAUUGACGCUGAGACGCGAAAGCGUAGGGAGCAAAAAU